rnacentral:rRNA from 1 species
CCUACGGGUGGCAGCAGUGAGGAAUAUUGGUCAAUGGACGCGAGUCUGAACCAGCCAAGUCGCGUGAAGGAUGACUGCCCUAUGAGUUGUAAACUUCUUUUGUAAGGGAAUAAAACGAGGCACGUGUGCCUUUUUGCAUGUACUUUAUGAAUAAGGAUCGGCUAACUCCGUGCCAGCAGCCGCGGUAAUACGGAGGAUCCGAGCGUUAUCCGGAUUUAUUGGGUUUAAAGGGAGCGUAGAUGGGUUGUUAAGUCAGUGGUGAAAGUUUGCGGCUCAACCGCGAAAUUGCAAUUGAUACUGGUAGGCUUGAGUAUAGUUGAGGUAGGCGGAAUGCGUGGUGUAGCGGUGAAAUGCUUAGAUAUCACGAAGAACCCCGAUUGCGAAGGCAGCUUACUAAGCUGUGACUGACAUUGAGGCGCGAAAGUGUGGGGAUCAAACAGGAUUAGAUACCCGGGUAGUC